rnacentral:misc_RNA from 1 species
UAAAUUGCGAUACGUAGCGCGAAUUGCAAAACUCGAGCGCUGAAUCUUUGAAUGCACAUUGCGCCAUUCGACUCGGUCGUCUGGCACGCCUGGCUCAGGGUUGACAAACUAAACAACAGCAGCGUUGUCUCAAUUGUCGUUCGUUCAAUUCGGUCUAAUGGCUCUAUGACCUGAAGAAUUGUCCGAACAUGUGGAUUAGUUGGUGUAUCAUCGACUUGAAAUCGGUCUGCGUCGACAUGAUUUUCUCGUCUUUCUCAGCAGCGAGAAACGAUGCGCCUUCUUCAUUCAACCUGAGCUCAGGCGUGAUUACCCGCUGAACUUAA